rnacentral:lncRNA from 1 species
UUCUUUAGUGGGAUGGGUUUGAUACUUGGGAGUAGCAUAUCUUCAUAUUUUUAUUUUUUAUGCUUACUAUUUCAUUUAAAUUUUUUUCUUUACUUUUAUAUUUUUAUCGAUUUAAUUUAACCGUUAUUUAGUUGUUUAGAUUUUUAAAUGUUUACUUUUUAGAUUUAAUUAAUGGUUGACUUCCCGAUAUUGGGUUUUAUUUGAUUAGUCGAUUUUUGUGUGUUAGUUAAUUUAAUUAGGUUAUUGGUAUCCAUGUUCAUACCUUUACACAUGUAAAUAACCAUAUUCAAAUUCACUAAUUUUUCAAUUUAAAUUUCACUAACUUUCCAUAGUUUCAACAUUAAAUUUCAUUUCCUCCCAUUAGAAUCUAGCAUUCUGAUGGGAACUCGAUUAUAUAUAAAAUUAAUUCGAUAUACAUAUAAAAUAGUAAAACUAAUUUUAUCCCUAUAACUUUAUUUUUAAA